UUUAACAAUGGAUGGGUAUAUCACUUGAGGUUUCAUGGUGAGAAAUUACAACAAAAACCUUGUAUUAAGCAUAAUGGAGGAUUUGAGCCUGGUAGCUCCAGCUCUUAGUACUUUUGUUGAUUGGGCCGAGCUUCUGGACACGUGAGAAGUAGCAGCUUGUCUUCUUCAGCACUCUCGUCAUCCUUUUACUUUAUGCUUUGUUCUACUUAAGGACUGGGACAGAUAGACUUGUAUCUUUUUCAUUUCUGUUGAAAUAGUGGCUUGUACAUGUGACAUCAAGUCUUGAAUAGUUGAGAAUCUAUCUUUCACUUAUCCUUAUUUAUAUUAUAUUAGACUUUACA